GACGAACGCUGGCGGCGUGCUUAACACAUGCAAGUCGAACGGAAAGGCCCUGCUUUUGUGGGGUGCUCGAGUGGCGAACGGGUGAGUAACACGUGAGUAACCCGCCCUUGACUUUGGGAUAACUUCAGGAAACUGGGGCUAAUACCGGAUAGGAGCUCCUGCUGCAUGGUGUGGGUUGGAAAGUUUCGGCGGUUGGGGAUGGACUCGCGGCUUAUCAGCUUGUUGGUGGGGUAGUGGCUUACCAAGGCUUUGACGGGUAGCCGGCCUGAGAGGGCGACCGGCCACAUUGGGCCUGAGAUACGGCCCGGACUCCUACGGGAGGCAGCAGUGGGGAAUAUUGCACGAUGGGCGGAAGCCUGAUGCAGCAACGCCGCGUGCGGGAUGACGGCCUUCGGGUUGUAAACCGCUUUCGCCUGUGACGAAGCGUGAGUGACGGUAAUGUGUAAAGAAGCACCGGCUAACUACGUG
rnacentral:rRNA from 1 species